rnacentral:lncRNA from 1 species
CAUCAGCCCAUUUUCCAGAUUAGAAACCGGAGGCCAGUAUCUAGUUGUUAGUGAACAAAUGUGGGGUGCUUCUGGAUCUGAUGUUGGUGAUAUUUCUAUUUUGCUUCCCUUCAGUUUAGCAUGUGGCUCUCUAGAACUUGGCAACCAUGUAAUCUUCCUAUCUGGAGCAGCACCGACCCGUUUUCCUGAUGAGAAACUGUGUUUAGGAUGUGACUCUCUAGAACAUGGCAACCAUGUAAUCUUCCUAACUGGAGCAGCACCGACCCGUUUUCCUGAUGAGAAACUGUGUUUAGGAUGUGACUCUCUAGAACAUGGCAACCAUGUAAUCUUCCUAUCUGGAGCAGCACCGACCCAUUUUCCUGAUGAGAAACUGUGUUUAGCAUGUGGCUCUCUAGAACUUGGCAACCAUGUAAUCUUCCUAUCUGGAGCAGCACCGAACAAUUUUCCUGAAGAGAAACUGUGUUUAGGAUGUGGCUCUCUAGAACUUGGCAACCAUGUAAUCUUCCUAACUGGAGCAGCACCGACCCGUUUUCCUGAUGAGAAACUGUGUUUAGCAUGUGGCUCUCUAGAACUUGGCAGCCAUGUAAUCUUCCUAUCUGGAGCAGCACCGAACAAUUUUCCUGAAUAGAAACUGUGGUGAGUAUCGUUUAUAUCGUGAACCAAAGAGCUAUGAAUAUUGAUACAAAUAUGGUGGUAUUUCCAUUGUUUUUCUUAUCUGGAAUGAACCUGGAUUCUUUGUGCUUGUCCCCAAUGUAAUCUUCCCCAUCUGCACCUACAUUAGCCCAUUUUCCAGAUGAAAAACCUGAAGGAAAUAUCAUGUAGAUAAUGAAAAAUAGAG